rnacentral:rRNA from 1 species
AUGAACGCUAGCUACAGGCUUAACACAUGCAAGUCGAGGGGCAGCAUGGUCUUAGCUUGCUAAGGCCGAUGGCGACCGGCGCACGGGUGAGUAACACGUAUCCAACCUGCCGUCUACUCUUGGACAGCCUUCUGAAAGGAAGAUUAAUACAAGAUGGCAUCAUGAGUCCGCAUGUUCACAUGAUUAAAGGUAUUCCGGUAGACGAUGGGGAUGCGUUCCAUUAGAUAGUAGGCGGGGUAACGGCCCACCUAGUCUUCGAUGGAUAGGGGUUCUGAGAGGAAGGUCCCCCACAUUGGAACUGAGACACGGUCCAAACUCCUACGGGAGGCAGCAGUGAGGAAUAUUGGUCAAUGGGCGAGAGCCUGAACCAGCCAAGUAGCGUGAAGGAUGACUGCCCUAUGGGUUGUAAACUUCUUUUAUAAAGGAAUAAAGUCGGGUAUGGAUACCCGUUUGCAUGUACUUUAUGAAUAAGGAUCGGCUAACUCCGUGCCAGCAGCCGCGGUAAUACGGAGGAUCCGAGCGUUAUCCGGAUUUAUUGGGUUUAAAGGGAGCGUAGAUGGAUGUUUAAGUCAGUUGUGAAAGUUUGCGGCUCAACCGUAAAAUUGCAGUUGAUACUGGAUAUCUUGAGUGCAGUUGAGGCAGGCGGAAUUCGUGGUGUAGCGGUGAAAUGCUUAGAUAUCACGAAGAACUCCGAUUGCGAAGGCAGCCUGCUAAGCUGCAACUGACAUUGAGGCUCGAAAGUGUGGGUAUCAAACAGGAUUAGAUACCCUGGUAGUCCACACGGUAAACGAUGAAUACUCGCUGUUUGCGAUAUACUGCAAGCGGCCAAGCGAAAGCGUUAAGUAUUCCACCUGGGGAGUACGCCGGCAACGGUGAAACUCAAAGGAAUUGACGGGGGCCCGCACAAGCAGUGGAGUAUGUGGUUUAAUUCGACGCAACGCGAAGAACCUUACCAAGUCUUGACAUCCUUCUGACCGGUACUUAAUCGUACCUUCUCUUCGGAGCAGGAGUGACAGGUGGUGCAUGGUUGUCGUCAGCUCGUGCCGUGAGGUGUCGGCUUAAGUGCCAUAACGAGCGCAACCCUUGUUGUCAGUUACUAACAGGUUCCGCUGAGGACUCUGACAAGACUGCCAUCGUAAGAUGUGAGGAAGGUGGGGAUGACGUCAAAUCAGCACGGCCCUUACGUCCGGGGCUACACACGUGUUACAAUGGGGGGUACAGAGGGCCGCUACCACGCGAGUGGAUGCCAAUCCCCAAAACCUCUCUCAGUUCGGACUGGAGUCUGCAACCCGACUCCACGAAGCUGGAUUCGCUAGUAAUCGCGCAUCAGCCACGGCGCGGUGAAUACGUUCCCGGGCCUUGUACACACCGCCCGUCAAGCCAUGGGAGCCGGGGGUACCUGAAGUGCGUAACCGCGAGGAGCGCCCUAGGGUAAAACUGGUGACUGGGGCU